GCGGGGGUUGCCGAGUGGACAAAGGCGCGGGAUUCAGGGUCCCGUCCCUGAGUGGGUUCGUGGGUUCAAAUCCCACCCCCCGCA
rnacentral:tRNA from 1 species